GUACAACCUCCUGCACAGUUCGCAGCAACGGGGGUAGGGGGAAUUCCGCCUAGCGAUCUAUUUGAUGAGGGGAAAAUUCUGGAACUGCCUCAAGUGUAAUUCUCAGCCUCGACGCUUCAAAUGGGGAGUUCCCUAUCUCCUUCCUUUAUUUAAAAGCAACUUGAGGCUCACCUUACCGUGGCUAAGUACUACCAAGAACUCCACAAAUCGCAUGUCGAUGCCGACAUGAUUACUCUACGCCAGCGCAACGAGAUGGACAUUGUGUUGCACAGGUUUGCUCUCAAAACUCUGGUAGACUGUGUUAGCUUUGCUCAAGGCGCAAAAAAACUUGAAGCGAGCUGAGGAGACGAUACAGAAUUUUGGAGUGACACAAACCCUCUGCACCGAGCUUGGAACUAAAUGUCAGGAAUUGGAAGCGAAGUUAAUAUCCAACGGGGAUUGGCAGAGGAAACAUGAGCUUUCUGCAGAAUAUGACAAGUUAAAAUCUCAGACUGAAAAGACAAAUGAAGCUCAUAAGGUGAUCGUCCAGAAUCUUCGGGAUGCUUGCAAAGACAAGGAGUAUUAACUUAACAGUCUGUAGUCGGCAAAAUAUGUUCUUCAGAAUGAGGUUGAAGUACUAAAAUCAGAUGCCAGGUUAGCUAAAGUAGAGAUUGAAGGCAAAGAUAAGCGUUACAAAUCAACUUUGGCUAAAUUGGAAAAAUCUCGCAAAGAGGCUGACCAACUUUGUUCUGAUCAUGCAACAGAAUCAUCACGCUUGAAUAGUGAAAUGGUUCGGCUCAAUUUAAAGGUCCAGAAUCUGGAGAAGGAACUGGAAAUGAGCCGUCUGGAUUGCACAAAGGCUCGAAUUUUGGACAGAUAUCGUGCUGAGUAGAAAAUGAGUAUUUCGGGCCGAACUGACGUGUCCUAUUACUUGGAUUACCUAAUUCAUUGUGACAACCAGAGUUUGAAAGAUAAGCAGGACCUGCUUCAUACGUAUUGUGACGAUCAUGGAUUGACUAUCGGUCAAUAUUAGCGCCGACACAUAUAUAGAAAACGUUGGCGACCUCGAAAUCAAUUAUCAUGGUGGCCAUAUCCAAGCGUUAAGGGAAGCUGGAGAUCCUCUUGGAUUUGUUUAUGAUGCGAACGGUGUACCUAGCCAAAAUGGAGUUGUGGAUGCACCAGAGUCUUCUGUAGAAAAGGGCAUUGCAAAUCCAACACAGGCUUGACCGUGGAUGUUGGAAUAAGCGGUGGAGUUCAUGUUUUACUGACGGAGGAUAAGCCGCAUCAAGUUCCAAUUACUAGCAUUGUGGUCGAGGAUUAUACCAAUGUUUGUCCCCAAGAGAUGUCAAUAGUUCAAAGGGGUGAUGGUAGUUAGUAUUAAACCAGUCAUUUGUAAACGUUACAUCAUUGUUUUUUUUAACAGAAGUGGUUUGAACUGCCUUAAGAUUGUUUGUUAGACGAAUUGUCAUAUUUACUAUAUUAUCUAUUUGUCGUUGCAGUGGUGUUUAUCUGUUCGUUCUCUACUUACCGUUGUUGUUUUGUUUGUUUUUUUUAGUUUCUUUCGAUCAUACUCUUGCUAUGAUAGGACUCUGCACAAGCCAUUUAGACCGUUUGCCACUGGCAAUACUCAUAACCAAUAUUGUUGGUGGUAAUCUUUGCGAUGUGAAGCGCAUCGACCUUGGUAUUCUUCGCGUACGCUGAACAUAAUUUUCUACCUAGCUCAUUGGCUUGCGGCUUUGCAAACUUCGCAGCGCAUGCUGAACAACUGCCUUCCAUAUUGUAUCGCCAACUUGCGCUACCAAUUGAGUUUUGAAGCUCUGCGACGCGCUCUUUUUGAAUAUGCACACAGAACUGCUCCUCGACUUCCGCGGUCUGUGCAUUGCCAUAGAAGUCACUAGCUUGCUUUGCCAAUUUAUACUCAUAACAUCGCUGUGUCAUUCUCCGCUCUUUGUAAUAAUCAAUCUUACAAACUUGUUUGCCUGCAAGGUUUUUUUUUUUUUUGAAGUUAGGUUGUUAACUAAACUGUAAAACGUUAUAACCAUUGUUCAAACUUGACUUUUUUCUCCCUUCCUGCCUCUCUUCUUCUUUCUUCUUUUUUUGUUGCCUUUAUGUUUUUAACAUGCGGUAGACGCAGCGAGCCAUGUUGAUGUAUUGCGAGAUCAUUAUGGACUAUGCAUUUACA